rnacentral:rRNA from 1 species
GUACGGCGGAACACGAGAAAUUCCGUCGGAAUCCGCGGGGACCAUCCCGCAAGGCUAAAUACUCCCUAGUGACCGAUAGUGAACCAGUACCGUGAGGGAAAGGUGAAAAGCACCCCGGAAGGGGAGUGAAAUAGAUCCUGAAACCGUGUGCCUACAACAAGUCAAAGCUCGUUAAUGAGUGAUGGCGUGCCUUUUGUAGAAUGAACCGGCGAGUUACGAUUGCAUGCGAGGUUAAGUCGAAGAGACGGAGCCGCAGCGAAAGCGAGUCUGAAUAGGGCGAAUGAGUAUGUAGUCGUAGACCCGAAACCAUGUGAUCUACCCAUGUCCAGGUUGAAGGUGCGGUAAAACGCACUGGAGGACCGAACCCACGUACGUUGAAAAGUGCGGGGAUGAGGUGUGGGUAGCGGAGAAAUUCCAAACGAACUUGGAGAUAGCUGGUUCUCUCCGAAAUAGCUUUAGGGCUAGCCUCGGAAUUGAGAAUGAUGGAGGUAGAGCACUGUUUGGACUAGGGGCCCAUCUCGGGUUACCGAAUUCAGAUAAACUCCGAAUGCCAUUCAUUUAUAUCCGGGAGUCAGACUGCGAGUGAUAAGAUCCGUAGUCGAAAGGGAAACAGCCCAGACCACCAGCUAAGGUCCCAAAAUAUAUGUUAAGUGGAAAAGGAUGUGGGGUUGCACAGACAACUAGGAUGUUGGCUUAGAAGCAGCCACCAUUUAAAGAGUGCGUAAUAGCUCACUAGUCGAGUGACCCUGCGCCGAAAAUGUACCGGGGCUAAACAUAUUACCG